UACGUAGGUGGCAAGCGUUGUUCGGAAUUAUUGGGCGUAAAGGGCGCGUAGGCGGCGCAACAAGUCACUUGUGAAAUCUCCGGGCUUAACCCGGAGCGGUCAAGUGAUACUGUCGUGCUAGAGUGCGGAAGGGGCAACUGGAAUUCUCGGUGUAGCGGUGAAAUGCGUAGAUAUCGAGAGGAACACCUGCGGCGAAGGCGGCUCACUGGACCGGAACUGACGCUGAGGCGCGAAAGCGUGGGGAGCAAACAGG
rnacentral:rRNA from 1 species